UGACGGUACUUGAGGAAUAAGCCUCGGCUAACUCCGUGCCAGCAGCCGCGGUAAUACGGAGGAGGCAAGCGUUAUCCGGAAUGAUUGGGCGUAAAGCGUCCGUAGGUGGCAGUUCAAGUCUGCUGUCAAAGACAGUAGCUCAACUACUGAAAGGCAGUGGAAACUGAACAGCUAGAGUACGGUAGGGGCAGAGGGAAUUCCCGGUGUAGCGGUGAAAUGCGUAGAUAUCGGGAAGAACACCGGUGGCGAAAGCGCUCUGCUGGGCCGUAACUGACACUGAGGGACGAAAGCUAGGGGAGCGAAUGGGAUUAGAUACCCCAGUAGUCCUAGCCGUAAACGAUGGAAACUAGGUGUAGCCUGUAUCGACCCGGGCUGUGCCGAAGCUAACGCGUUAAGUUUCCCGCCUGGGGAGUACGCACGCAAGUGUGAAACUCAAAGGAAUUGACGGGGGCCCGCACAAGCGGUGGAGUAUGUGGUUUAAUUCGAUGCAACGCGAAGAACCUUUACCAGGGCUUGAMAUGUCCGGAAUCUUGGUGAAAGCCGAGAGUGCCUUCGGAGCCGGAACACAGUGGUGCAUGGCUGUCGUCAGCUCGUGUCGUGAGAUGUUGGGUUAAGUCCCGCAACGAGCGCAACCCUCGUCCUUAGUUGCCAUCAUUCAGUUGGGCACUUUAGGGAGACUGCCGGUGACAAACCGGAGGAAGGUGGGGAUGACGUCAAGUCAUCAUGCCCCUUACGUCUGGGCUACACACGUACUACAAUGGGGGGGACAAAGGGUAGCCAAGACGCGAGUCUGAGCCAAUCCCGUAAACCUCUCCUCAGUUCAGAUUGCAGGCUGCAACUCGCCUGCAUGAAGGAGGAAUCGCUAGUAAUCGCAGGUCAGCAUACUGCGGUGAAUCCGUUCCCGGGCCUUGUACACACCGCCCGUCACACCAUGGAAGUUAGCCACGCCCGAAGUCGUUACUCUAACCGUUCGCGGAGGAGGAUGCCGAAGGCAGGGCUGAUGACUGGGGUGAAGUCGUAACAAGGUAGCCGUACCGGAAGGUGUGGCUGGAUCACCUCCUUUUUAGGGAGACCUACUUCGAGAUAUCGCGCCUUAACAACUAUAGCCGUGUCUUGAGGUCAUCCUUAGGUCGGAUGGGGCGGUCAGAGAGCUUUCAAACUUUAGGGUUCGUGUUAUGGGCUAUUAGCUCAGGUGGUUAGAGCGCACCCCUGAUAAGGGUGAGGUCCCUGGUUCAAGUCCAGGAUGGCCCACAUCCACCCCAAACUGGGGGUAUAGCUCAGUUGGUAGAGCGCUGCCUUUGCACGGCAGAAGUCAGCGGUUCGAGUCCGCUUACCUCCACUCUCCUUUGUGAUGGUGCUAGUUGGGGUGAGAUGAGAUGAGGUUACCUCUGAUAGAUAAUUUAUCACUGUACAGCUCCUAAAUCUUUAGAUAUUACUCUGAGAUUGGAUAGCUGGACAUCUGUUCCAGUCAGAACCUUGAAAACUGCAUAGAGAAAAGCAUA
rnacentral:misc_RNA from 1 species